GCGCGAAAACUUUACAAUGCGGGAAACCGUGAUAAGGGGACACCGAGUGCCAGCGUCAUACGCUGGCUGUCCAGGUGUGUAAAAUACACCUGUUAGCAAGGGCCGGGCAAGACCGGUGCCAGCCGCCGCGGUAACACCGGCGGCCCGAGUGGUGAUCGUGAUUAUUGGGUCUAAAGGGUCCGUAGCCGGUUUGGUCAGUCCUCCGGGAAAUCUGACAGCUCAACUGUUAGGCUUUCGGGGGAUACUGCCAGGCUUGGAACCGGGAGAGGUAAGAGGUACUACAGGGGUAGGAGUGAAAUCUUGUAAUCCCUGUGGGACCACCUGUGGCGAAGGCGUCUUACCAGAACGGGUUCGACGGUGAGGGACGAAAGCUGGGGGCACGAACCGG
rnacentral:rRNA from 2 species